UCUUGGUCAUUUAGAGGAAGUAAAAGUCGUAACAAGGUUUCCGUAGGUGAACCUGCGGAAGGAUCAUUACCUAGAGUUGUAGGCUUUGCCUGCUAUCUCUUACCCAUGUCUUUUGAGUACCUUACGUUUCCUCGGUGGGUUCGCCCACCGAUUGGACAAAUUUAAACCCUUUGCAGUUGAAAUCAGCGUCUGAAAAAACUUAAUAGUUACAACUUUCAACAACGGAUCUCUUGGUUCUGGCAUCGAUGAAGAACGCAGCGAAAUGCGAUAAGUAGUGUGAAUUGCAGAAUUCAGUGAAUCAUCGAAUCUUUGAACGCACAUUGCGCCCCUUGGUAUUCCAUGGGGCAUGCCUGUUCGAGCGUCAUUUGUACCUUCAAGCUCUGCUUGGUGUUGGGUGUUUGUCUCCUGUAGACUCGCCUUAAAACAAUUGGCAGCCGGCGUAUUGAUUUCGGAGCGCAGUACAUCUCGCGCUUUGCACUCAUAACGACGACAUCCAAAAGUACAUUUUUACACUCUUGACCUCGGAUCAGGUAGGGAUACCCGCUGAACUUAAGCAUAUCAAUAAGCGGAGGAA
rnacentral:rRNA from 2 species